rnacentral:rRNA from 1 species
AUGCACGCUGGCGGCGUGCCUAAUACAUGCAAGUCGCGCGAACGGACGAGAAGCUUGCUUUUCUGAUGUUAGCGGCGGACGGGUGAGUAACACGUGGAUAACCUACCUAUAAGACUGGGAUAACUUCGGGAAACCGGAGCUAAUACCGGAUAAUAUUUUGAACCGCAUGGUUCAAAAGUGAAAGACGGCCUUGCUGUCACUUAUAGAUGGAUCCGCGCUGCAUUAGCUAGUUGGUAAGGUAACGGCUUACCAAGGCAACGAUGCAUAGCCGACCUGAGAGGGUGAUCGGCCACACUGGAACUGAGACACGGUCCAGACUCCUACGGGAGGCAGCAGUAGGGAAUCUUCCGCAAUGGGCGAAAGCCUGACGGAGCAACGCCGCGUGAGUGAUGAAGGUCUUCGGAUCGUAAAACUCUGUUAUUAGGGAAGAACAUAUGUGUAAGUAACUGUGCACAUCUUGACGGUACCUAAUCAGAAAGCCACGGCUAACUACGUG